rnacentral:lncRNA from 1 species
UGUCGGUGUCAAAACCGGCGGAUCUCGGGUAGGGGGUCCCGAACUGUGCGUCUAGGCGGAUGGUAACAGGAGACGAGGGACACAAUGUUUUUACCCAGGUUCAGGCCCUCUCGAUGGAGGUAAUACCCUACGUCCUGCUUGAUUAAUAUUGAUGAUACGGGUAGUACAAGAGUAGAUCUACCACGAGAUCAAUGAGGCUAAACCCUAGAAGCUAGCCUAUGGUAUGAUUGUUGAGAUGUAAUGUUGUGUCCUACGGACUACGGCCCUCCGGUUUAUAUAGACACCGGAGAGGCUAGGGUUACACAGAGUCGGUUACAAUGGUAGGAGAUCUACAUAUCCGUAUUGCCAAGCUUGCCUUCCACGCCAAGUAAAGUACCUUCCGGACACGACCCGGAGUCUUCAAUCUUCUAUCUUCGUAGUCUGGGAGUCCGGCGGAUAUUGACAGUCCGGCUGUCCGGACACCCCCUAGUCCAGGACUCCCUCAGUAGCCCCUGAACCAGUCUUCAAUCACGAUAAGUCCGGCGUGCAUAAUGUUCGACAUUGCAAGGCGGGUUCCUCCCUUGAAUAAUCCAGAGAAGAUAAUGAACACCAGGAUAGUGUCCGGCUCUGCAAAAUAAUUUCCACACUCCAACGUAGAGAGAAUAAAACACAUACACCGAUCCAAUCUGCUGACGUAUUAUGCGGCAUGACAUCCCACCGCAGCCAAGCCUUCGUUUUAAUUGUUUUUACUAUUCCACCUCAGCACGUUUAGCGAAGCGGCUUCCUUGGCACGUCCUGUCGAAGCAGAGAUCGUGUUCCCCUCUUUCCGGGAUUCUCAUCAAUACGUGCGUGGGUAACCCAACCGUUCCCGUCGCCACGCCUCCUCUAUCGAAGGGGAAUCUCAAACGGUCACGGAGACGGCCCUUGGUAUUAUUUCCCCUUUAUAAGAGGACCAAGGCAUGUCCUUGUCUCUUAACCUCGCAUCGAAUCUUUCCUCUGCUCCCAAUUCCAACAAUAAGAGCUUCAGACUCGAGCGCUUCGGAUCCACAGCAAUGUCCGGCUCCGACCUCCAGGGCCGGUGGGUGCCCUCCUCCGUCACAGAGGAGGACAUAUUGAAGUUGCGUGAGGCCAAGUACCUGGCCUACGAAGUCUCGCACAGGUUGCCUGCCCCUGGGCAGGCCGUGCCAGCCCCCGAGCCCGGCGAAUGUGUCAUUUUCGCAUCCCACCUCCGUCGGGGAUUAGGCUUCCCGACGGAUCCUUUCAUGAGGGGGCUUCUGUUCUUCUACGGGCUGGACUUCCACGACUUGGCUCCGGAGUCCAUCCUCCAUAUCUCCGCAUUCAUUAUUGUCUGUGAAGCCUUCCUCCGUGUCAUCCCCCACUUCGGCCUGUGGCUGAAAACAUUCAAGGUGGAGCCGAAGAUGAUCGGGGGGCGUCGAGCGGAGUGUGGCGGGGCGACCAUAAGUAAGAUGGUCGAUGCCCCGUGGCUCGAAGGUUCCUUCCAAGAGGAACAGGGAUUGUGGCAGCAGGAGUGGUUCUACAUCACCGCUCCAAGGGGCAGCAAGCAAAAGCCGCCGCCCUCCUUCCGCCCGGGACCUCCACAGCAACUGAUGUCGUGGGUCAACCAAGGGCUCAACUGGGGGCCGUCCAAGGACGUGCCCGCACUGCAGGGCCGGAUUCGGGACCUCCAAACAAGGGAGAUCGAUUUGGCCAAGGUGAUGCAGGUUAUGCUAACUAGGCACCUCCUACCCUGCAAACGUCGUCCUCUCCGUUUAUGGGAGUUCAAUCCGGAGGGACCUCGUAUCCUCCAGCAUUUCAUGGGGGCGACACCCUUGGAGAUGUACGAGCUGUUCUUCGGACCGCAAGUGGCGUGUCCGGAUUCGGCCGAGGAUGCGGGACUAAGCCGCGAUCGUCCGGAUACUCAGGUAAAUAUCUCAGAGCCCGGACAUCCUGCUUGUAUGCCUUUCAAAAGAUCAUCUCCUAACCCUUUUUAUUCUUUACAGGAAUGGGUGGCGCGAUCAAGGCUGAUAAGGUGUCCGGCCCCCCUCCCAGAGACCGCACUGGAGCCCGUGCUGGUCAGAAUGUUGGAGGCCGCACCCACAGAAGGGGGCGAUGGGGGAGAUAAAGGAGCUAAUACUUCGUCCAAGGAGGCGACUGAAGAGGAGAGGACCAAGGAUCCCUCCCCUCAGAGGGGAAAGAGGGCCGCCCCCAAAGAUCCGGAGGUCAAAGCCCCCAAGCGUGGGAAGAAAUCCUCACCGGGAGGUCCGGCGUCCGGAGAGAAUCCAGACGCACAGUCGUCGCCCAAGGACCAGCCCUCCAACGAGCCGUGAGUAUGAAAGAAGAAGUUAAAUAAGAAAGUACCUUCGUUUUAUGCUUCUGUAGGUAAUCGAAAUAUUUAUAUCGCAGUUCGGAUCUGCAGCCAUCUCAGAUGAGUUCGUCCUCGGGGGAUCUUCUUCCGGAGAUGAUGGAGAGCGAUACACCUCCGUCCGACGCGCCGCCAGAUGAAGCGGGCGGGCCCGAAGUGUCGUCACGGAGGGCGUCCCCGAGUCCGGAGGGGUUGAAGAGUUCAACACCCACCAGAGCCCGGUCGGGAGAAUUGAAGAGUUUGCUUGAGAGGGCGUCCAUUUCAGAAGAUCACCGUGCGUUAAUGUGUAUGGUGAUUGGAAGGAUUUCGUCCGCUGAAAGUGGAUUGCGUGAUUGCUGGCGGGUUUUGAGGUAUGCGAAAAUAGCGUACCCCUUUGCUUUUUAACAGUUGUGCAUAUAAAAGAUGCGCUCUGUAUAGAUAGUAGCCCCUGAGACUCGGUAGGUUGUCGAAGACGACAGCGUGCCGAGGAUCGAAAAUCUAGACACCUCAGGUAAUAAAUAACGCCGUCCUGAUACAGGUGGCGGAUAGUCCGGGGGCCAGCCGGACUGAUCAGUUUGCCGAACUGAGUCGGCAACUGGACAUGGCAGAUGCUGACAUGGCACUUGUCAAUAAGCGACUUGACGAGUCGCAAGGUAAAUAAAUUCUCCAUAGCUGUUUUAUUGAGUGGGUUAAAGCCCUCCUCUAAUAAGUUCUGUGUUGUUUAUACAGACAGUGCUGCUGCUGUGGAGAGACUUCGGGCCGAGCUUGCACAAGCCAAGGAGCAAGCCCGAAGAAGUAAUUCGGCUGCCGCGAGGGCGGCCGAGGAGUUGAAGGCCGAAAAGGCUGCGCACUGCCUAAGCAGGGCGGAAGUGGCCGAAUUGGCUAAAAAUUUAAAGGAUGCUACCGACCGUAGCGAGGCUCUUGAAAAGGAGCGCCUAUUGGAGCGGGAAGGACUGAAGAAGGCCACCGCCGAGACCAAUGAUGCCCGCUCUGCAAUGCGGGCUAUGAAGGAGGAGCUGCGCCAAGCCGGAGAAAUCACGGCUGGCAGGCCGUUUCUCAUGCGUCGCCGGUUUAUGGAUGCCCGGUAUGCCCAAUUUGAAAAGCAGUGGAGUUCGGAGGAUCCCUACAUGGACUUGGCUGCGAGUGCGGCUGACGCCGUUAAGCACUUCCGGAGCCAGGGGGAUCACGAGGUGGAAGAGUUAUAUUGGACUCAAUUCCACAGUCCGGAUCGUCCUCUUCCGCUGUCGGACAGGUUGGCCGAAUGGGCCGAACUGAAUAGACUGUCCGGGCUGGCUAUGACUGACAUCGUGGCCCAUGUGUGGCCAGAGAGGUCCAAGGCAACGAUCUAUUUUGGCCUACUGCAGCAGUUCCUUGGGGCGGUGCCGCAUAUCAAGGAGAUGAAGCGGUCGGCCUGCAUAGAGGGCGCGCGGAUGGCUCUGGCCCGUGUAAAGGCGCAGUGUCCGGAGAUGGAUGCCACCGCUAUUGCUGCCCAGGGUUCGGAUGGGAACCGGCUUCCUGCCGAACAUUAUUUCGGGGAAGUUAUGCGCGGCGCUCGUAUAAUAGAGUCGCAGUGCUCGAAGAAUGUAACGUUCAGUUGAACGCAUUAACUUGUUUAUGAAUGAUUAUAGUAUGAAUGCUUUUUAUACUUGUGCUUCCAAGUAAUAGUACUUCUCCUUGCGGCCGUUUUAAGUAUACUUGUGUAUAACCUGAAAGAUGCAGUCUUCGGCUUCAGCCCCCAUGCACAAGGUGCUGGGGUGUUCGCAAAAUAGCGCUUUUUCACACUUUAAUCCGACGUCUCAGUCCUGUUAUAAGGAGGUGGUAGCGUAGCGAACGAGGCAAUCCGGACUAUAAUGCUUUAUCUCUUUCACUUAGCCAAUGGAGCUCGAGGGUGGGGCUACGACAUAGCCCCUAUUGGCACCGCACAUCUCCGGUUUCGGGGUGCGUAUGUGCCUGACCGGGAAGCGGCCCUUCGUCAAAGCGGGGAAUUCUAAACAUUCCGUAGUCAAUCAAGUGGCUGACCAGACUCUCGCUAUAUCAUGACAGUCAGUUUUCGGCUUUCUCUACUGAGGUGCUCACCCAGCCGAACUGGGGCACAAUCGCAGUAGUUCUCCUGGUGCCGCGUUAGCCGGAUGAUACGGAACGUAAGGCAGCAAAACACAGGAGCCGGGCAAACCCAACAUUUGACCAAAGACAUGAUUCGGAGCUGAUGCAUAUAGUGCCCAACUUGAGACGCCGAACACUCCCUGAGGUGUUCGGACUUUAUGAUAACGGGUAGAAUUAUACCCUAAGCCCCUUGUGUCCAGGUAUGGGCGUUGUCUUCUGACGCGGCCAAUGCCAAAUCGUCAGGCUCCGCCUCGGCUAUAGGAAGAAGCCAAGGCUGAUAUAGCAACAAGAGACAGUAAUAAAAAGGUCCACGUAGGGUCUUAAUCUGAAAAGAAACCUUGCGACAGGUCCCUACUGCACGUCUGCGCCUGUGUCUCCGUUGUGCCGUUAUCCUGGACGGGUACGCACGUUGCUCAUCUGUAGAAAAGAGAGGAACAUUUCAAAAACAGUUCGUGCGAAAAUAAUGCAAAAGAAUAAGCGUAAAUAAUUAAGGGUAGGUUUAUAUGAAACCGAUAUUAAUUGUGCGCGCAGCCCCUUGUGAAAGGGUAUGCGGCUAGGGAGCCCCUAGCUUGCUGAGUCCGGAUUCGUCUAUCCGAGUCCGGGGGCUUUAAGUGACCCUCGCACUGAAAUAGUGCCGUGUGGACCGGGCAUCUUAAGUGUAAGAGAUGCGUAAUGCGGUAUGGCAUUGAAGCGGACAAAAGCCUUUCGUCCUAAUAGUGCUUGAUGUUCACUUUUAAAUGGGACGAUAUGGAAAAUUAACUUUUCUUGUCGGAAAUUGUUCGGUGAUCCGAACACGACUUCGAGUAAUAUCGAGCCUGUGCACUUGGCGUAAGGGCCGGGCGUAACUCCUUUGAAGGAAGUGCGGCUGUGUCGAAUUUUGGUAGGGUCUAUUCCCAUCCGACGGAUUGUAUUUGAAUAUAGCAGGUUUAAGUCACUGCCUCCAUCCAUUAGGACGUUUGUGAAUUGUAGUCCGUCUAUUAUCGGAUUCAAUAUCAGGGGAGUCCGUCCCGUGGUUCGAACACUUUUGGAAUAAUCCCGGUGGUCGAAAGUGAUUGGUUUUGAUAUCCAAUCUCUACGGUUUGUGGGGCCGGACCAUGCGAAGCUCUUUUUAGAAAGUGCCGCACUGUUUUUCCGUAUCCUCACAUGAAGUGAGUUUACUGCUUUGACCCCUUGUGGGAAAGUCUUUUGUUUUCCAGUGCCCUGCUGGCGGGGUUUAUCUUCUUUGCUUGACGCGUCGAGCCCCUUGCGUUCGGCGUUUAGUCGGCCGGACUGUUUGAAAACCCAACAAUCCCUGUGGGUGUGAUUUGCAGGCCUUCCGGGGGUACUGUGGAUUUGACAGAUCCGACCCAGGAUUUUGUGUAGGUUAGACAGUUCGUCGCUGUCGUCCUUGAUGGGUUGAGCUUUAUUAUUCGGCCGUGAGCUUUUAAAUCCGGCGUUGACUGUCGUGCUCUUUGGGCUUUUCUCUUUAUUCCGGCGCUGAUCUGUUCUGCGCCGUGAUUUUCCGUUUCCAUCUCUUAUCUCGGAUGUACUUGGGUCGCUGGUGCUGCUUCUUGCCAACCAGCUGUCCUCUCCUAUGCAAAAGCGGGUCAUGAGGCUUGUUGAUGCGGUCAUUGUCCUCGGUUUUUCUUGACCGAGGUGUCUGGCAAGCCAUUCGUCUCGGACAUUGUGCUUGAAAGCUGCUAAGGCUUCGGCGUCCAGACAGUCAACUAUUUGGUUCUUUUCGGUGAGGAACCUGUUCCAGAAUUUCCGCGCUGACUCUCCGGGCUGUUGAGUUAUGUGACUUAAGUCGUCUGCAUCCGGAGGCCGGACAUAAGUCCCUUGAAAGUUUGCUCUAAACGCUUCCUCGAGCUCUUCCCAACUUCCAACAGUGUUUUCUGGGAGGCUUUUGAGCCAAUGACGAGCUGGCCCUUUGAGUUUGAGGGGUAGAUAUUUUAUGGCGUGGAGAUCGUCUCCUCUGGCCAUAUGUAUAUGUAAUAUAUAGUCUUCUACCCAGACUCCAGGGUCUGUUGUUCCAUCAUAGGCUUCUAUGUUUACGGGUUUAAACCCUGCUGGGAAUUCAUGUUCCAGCACUUCGUCUGUGAAGCAUAGUGGGUGUGCGGCACCCCUGUACUUGUACGUGCCGCUGUCGUCGGACACUUGACGUGUUCCUUUGCUUAUUGGGGCUUUCCUUUUGGGUCCAUAGAUGGACCUGGCGGGGCCAUUGGACGGUGGGGGCUUUACGGCCUCUUCGUCGAAUUCUGGGAGCAGCUUGCGCUUUGGGUAGCUCUUCGGUUGGUGGCUGUUGCUUUGUUUGUCUGCGGUUUUGAGCACUUUGCUCCAUCUUAUCCGGAGCGCGUCUUCCGCUGUGUUGAGCUUCCGCUUUUCCUCCUUCAGGCUUCUUGCUGUAGCGAUGAGCCUGCGUUUGCGAAGAUUUUGUUCGACGGGCUCUUCGAGUUCGUCGUCAUCGGGGCUUGAUUCGUCCUCGGAGGGAGGUACAUAGUUGUGAUCCUCAAACUUUUCUUCUGCCGCCCUUUCGUGAGGGCGUACUUCUUCAUCCUCCUUCGCUGAUUCUUGCUAGAGGGGUUUGUCUUCGGCACUCUCCGGAGUGUUAUUAUCUCCCGUGCCAGAUUCUCCAUUCUUGCUGUGGCGGGAUUUAGAGCGGCGCCGUCGGCGCUUGGGUUGCUUCUUUAAAGAAUCUUUCUCCGCUGCUUUCUCGCCAUCCCCUUCUUUUGGGGUAUCCACCAUGUAAACGUCGUAUGACGAGGCGGCCUUCCAGUGUCCGGUGGGCGCUGGGUCCUGAUCGUCUCCGGCAUCGUCGUCCAUAGCAUCGAUGUCAUCGGAGUCGUAGUCUAGCAUGUCGGUUAGAUCCUCGACAGUGGCUACAAAGUGGGUGGUGGGUGGGCUCCGAAUUUCUUCGUCGUCCGAACUCCAACCGUCCUGGCCAUAGUCCGGCCAGGAUUCCCCUGAUAGCGAGAGAUGCUUCAGAGAAUUCAAGAUAUCGCCAAAAAGCGAGUGUUGAAAGAUGUCCGCGGCGGUGAAUUCCAUAACCGGCGCCCAAUCUGGUUUAAUUGGCAGGGGCGCGGGAGGCUCGGAGUCCGGCAAGGAGUCCGGUGCCUCGGGAUCACGAAUUUCGCGGGGGACAAGAUUGGCAUUUGGCUCCAUCGCCGUAGAUGUUGAAGCCCCCGAGGCGGCGUCUAUCCACCGACCCUCGUCAUGGGCGAUCGGCUCCGGGCAAGUAGCCGGGGCGGAUUCAAGUGCGGCCACCAAAGCACUGUGUGGCGGCAGAGCUGGAUCAUGCCCAUCGUCACAGUGCGGCGCGCUUGGCUGUGGCUCGAGUCCGUCGAAGAUCAAGUCUCCGCGGUUAUCGGCCGUGAAGUUUAGGCUUCCGAAUCUGACCUGACGGCCGGGGCGUAGCUUUCGAUCUGCUCCAGAUGGCCAAGAGAGUUGGCCCGCAGUGCAAAGCCGCCGAAUAUGAAGAUCUGUCCGGGGAGGAAAGUCUCGCCCUGGACAGCGUCAAAGAUUGACGAUGCCAUCAAGCCUAUUGGUGACAACACAGAGGAACUCUCAAUGAAAGCACCAAUGUCGGUGUCAAAACCGGCGGAUCUCGGGUAGGGGGUCCCGAACUGUGCGUCUAGGCGGAUGGUAACAGGAGACGAGGGACACAAUGUUUUUACCCAGGUUCAGGCCCUCUCGAUGGAGGUAAUACCCUACAUCCUGCUUGAUUAAUAUUGAUGAUAUGGGUAGUACAAGAGUAGAUGUACCACGAGAUCAAUGAGGCUAAACCCUAGAAGCUAGCCUAUGGUAUGAUUGUUGAGAUGUAAUGUUGUGUCCUACGGACUACGGCCCUCCGGUUUAUAUAGACACCGGAGAGGCUAGGGUUACACAGAGUCGGUUACAAUGGUAGGAGAUCUACAUAUCUGUAUUGCCAAGCUUGCCUUCCAUGCCAAGUAAAGUACCUUCCGGACACGAGCCGGAGUCUUCAAUCUUCUAUCUUCGUAGUCUGGGAGUCCGGCGGAUAUUGAUAGUCCGGCUGUCCGGACACCCCCUAGUCCAGGACUCCCUCAAUG